rnacentral:lncRNA from 1 species
GCCAUGGUUGUUAAUGAAGAGAUUUGAUAAUUUUCUUUAUGUUUUGAUGAAUAAAUGUUGAUGAGAGAUGUUUGAUCUAGUUAAAAAUUUAAUUUGAUAGUAUUUAUGUGUAAUAGCCGAACUUGGACUUGCUUAGUUACUUGAAUAAAUGUUUUGUAUUUAAAUGCUAGAAUGUGAGUGUUGCCGUUUAGAUGAUUUGAAAAGAAUAGAGU